GAUGAACGCUGGCGGCGUGCCUAAUACAUGCAAGUCGAGCGAAUGGAUUAAGAGCUUGCUCUUAUGAAGUUAGCGGCGGACGGGUGAGUAACACGUGGGUAACCUGCCCAUAAGACUGGGAUAACUCCGGGAAACCGGGGCUAAUACCGGAUAACAUUUUGAACCGCAUGGUUCGAAACUGAAAGGCGGCUUCGGCUGUCACUUAUGGAUGGACCCGCGUCGCAUUAGCUAGUUGGUGAGGUAACGGCUCACCAAGGCAACGAUGCGUAGCCGACCUGAGAGGGUGAUCGGCCACACUGGGACUGAGACACGGCCCAGACCCCUACGGGAGGCAGCAGUAGGGAAUCUUCCGCAAUGGACGAAAGUCUGACGGAGCAACGCCGCGUGAGUGAUGAAGGCUUUCGGGUCGUAAAACUCUGUUGUUAGGGAAGAACAAGUGCUAGUUGAAUAAGCUGGCACCUUGACGGUACCUAACCAGAAAGCCACGGCUAACUACGUGCCAGCAGCCGCUGUAA
rnacentral:rRNA from 1 species